CCGGCCAUCAGCUGGACUGUGUUAUAGUUAUUUGCUCGAAUACGGGGCAAAAUCUCAUCUGCAAAUUCCCGGUAAGAGUUUAUGCGAGGUUCAGAGCUACUCAUCCCCACAUGAGCCUCAUAUAUCCGCGGGGCCUUUGGCUUCGGUGGACGUGGAUAUUUAAACUGAUAUCUGCAGAACAGAAAAGAAAGUGAACAAAUGAACAUAAAUGAACAUAAUUCUGUUUGAACAUUACCGAGUUAAGUGUGAGGAAAAUAUAAAUAACAAAUAUAUAUAUAUAUAUAUAUAUAAAGGAAUGGUAGGAUCAUUCGAUCCAAUUGAACAAUCUACAACUUUUAAAUCCAACAGACAUUUUCCUCAUUCUGUUGCAAGCUAUACACCAAACAAACAAAUGUUUUUUUUCUUUAAUGACCAGACAGAAAAGAGGAAUGAAACAUGCUAGCGUAUAUGGAAUAUAAAAAAGGUGGAAAUCUGUUGAUUCAUCCAUGGAUUCUAUUAAAACUCGCAUUUGAAAUCAGUAUUUUUUUUUUAUCAACCCACGAUUUGAAGUGACAAUUUCAAAUAAUGACAGUUGAUGGGAUUUUGGUAGCAUUCAUUACUAAAAACAAAUUAUAUUUUAUUUUAUAAUAAAUCAUAUAUCACAGUACAUCUAGAUUCAUUUAUGCCUCAGAUGAGACUUUAUUUAUAAUGCAACUAAAAUAACCACGUUCAUUUGGAUCCAAACCUUUAAUUAAUUAUAAUUCAAUUGAAUGCUAUAAAAAAAAUUGACUCUCUAAAACUGUAAGAAAUUAUUUACACAAUUUUAAAUUCAGUUAAUCUGUGGCAUAUACCAAAGUCCCUUUUAGUAUUGAUCCUUCCGAUGCAAUGCUUAAUUUUUAUUAAAGAAAAAAGUCCAAAGAUAUUCAACAGGUGAAUAAUGUGACCUCUCUGAAAGGGGUGGAUCCCAGUAGACACCAUCAUAUGGGGCUGCAAAUCUGGUUGGAUCAACAGUGGCAUAUUUUAUCCAAGCAGGGAUGCGAUCAACCCAAACUCCAUCCCCAUGGCGGAAUCUAAACUUCACUCUUGAACUGUGUGGUAUAGCUGGAUUUCCAUCAACAUCAGGGAUCUUAAUACUCCAGACACCAAACUGAUCUUUUUCCAUCUGGUGGUUUGAACCAUC
rnacentral:lncRNA from 1 species